rnacentral:sRNA from 1 species
GUCGAGCGUCGGGUCAUGCCAAAGCUGUAUCGCGUUUCGCCGUUGGUCUCCAGCGGUCCCGAUAUGCC